GAAACAUGGGGACUCUUGUAGCAAAAAAGUUUGAUUUUGGGUCAAACGGGGGAUUUUUGAAGAGCAGAAGUGUGAUUUUCACGUUAAAUGGGGGAUUUUCCACAAGAAAAUGUGUGAAUUUGGGGGAUAAUGGGGGAUUUUUGAAG
rnacentral:lncRNA from 7 species